rnacentral:rRNA from 1 species
UAAAUGAAACUAGAUACAAGCGAGCGGCGGACGGGUGAGUAACACGUGGGUAACCUGCCCAAGAGACUGGGAUAACACCUGGAAACAGAUGCUAAUACCGGAUAACAACACUAGACGCAUGUCUAGAGUUUGAAAGAUGGUUCUGCUAUCACUCUUGGAUGGACCUGCGGUGCAUUAGCUAGUUGGUAAGGUAACGGCUUACCAAGGCAAUGAUGCAUAGCCGGGUUGAGAGACUGAUCGGCCACAUUGGGACUGAGACACGGCCCAAACUCCUACGGGAGGCAGCAGUAGGGAAUCUUCCACAAUGGACGAAAGUCUGAUGGAGCAACGCCGCGUGAGUGAAGAAGGGUUUCGGCUCGUAAAGCUCUGUUGGUAGUGAAGAAAGAUAGAGGUAGUAACUGGCCUUUAUUUGACGGUAAUUACUUAGAAAGUCACGGCUAACUACGUGCCAGCAGCCGCGGUAAUACGUAGGUGGCAAGCGUUGUCCGGAUUUAUUGGGCGUAAAGCGAGUGCAGGCGGUUCAAUAAGUCUGAUGUGAAAGCCUUCGGCUCAACCGGAGAAUUGCAUCAGAAACUGUUGAACUUGAGUGCAGAAGAGGAGAGUGGAACUCCAUGUGUAGCGGUGGAAUGCGUAGAUAUAUGGAAGAACACCAGUGGCGAAGGCGGCUCUCUGGUCUGCAACUGACGCUGAGGCUCGAAAGCAUGGGUAGCGAACAGGAUUAGAUACCCUGG